rnacentral:tRNA from 1 species
GCUGAUAUAGCUCAGAUGGUAGAGCGCAUCCUUGGUAAGGAUGAGGUCGGUCGAGUUCGAUCUGCCUAUCAGCACCA